AAGAUUAAGCCAUGCAUGUCUAAGUAUAAGCAAUUUAUACAGUGAAACUGCGAAUGGCUCAUUAAAUCAGUUAUCGUUUAUUUGAUAGUUCCUUUACUACAUGGUAUAACUGUGGUAAUUCUAGAGCUAAUACAUGCUUAAAAUCUCGACCCUUUGGAAGAGAUGUAUUUAUUAGAUAAAAACCAAUGUCUUUUUGACUCGUUGGUGAUUCAUAAUAACUUGUCGAAUCGCAU
rnacentral:rRNA from 1 species